AGCCGCUGAGCCACCGCCUCCCUUAUGUACAAGAUAGCAGCUGGGGAUUUUUUUCACCCCCCCUAAGAAGAUACCCAGAACAUUGUGGGGAGAGGGAAAUAUACCCCCCACCUCAAGCGACCUAGCAGCUAAAAGAGAUUUCUACUGCGAAUAAAGGGGGAGCUGGAAGAAGCUGGUAGCUGAGCCAAACAUCAGGGCUGUCAUCCGUUGGCCCCUCACCAAGAUGGCGGCUGCUGCUUCCUCCUCCUCCUCCUGCAACGGAGCAGAAGAUGAGGAGAGCUUGAAAGGAUGCGAGCUGUAUGUUCAAAAGCACAACAUCCAACAGGCCCUGAAAGAGUGCAUUGUGAAUCUCUGCAUCGCUAAACCCGACCGUCCGAUGAAGUUCUUGCGGGAACAUUUUGAGAAGCUGG